UACGUAGGCAGCGAGCGUUGUUCGGAGUUACUGGGCGUAAAGGGUGUGUAGGCGGUUGUUUAAGUUUGGUGUGAAAUCCCUCAGCUUAACUGGGGAACUGCGUCUGAUACUGGAUGGCUUGAGUUUGGGAGAGGGAUGCGGAAUUCCAGGUGUAGCGGUGAAAUGCGUAGAUAUCUGGAGGAACACCGGUGGCG
rnacentral:rRNA from 1 species